AAUAAACUGCCGUCAUUAGCUAGGAGGGGGAGAGGUGGGGGUGGCUUUUGGAGAUGGCCAGUCAGUUAGGCGCGUACAAGAGUUAUCUUACCUUCUUUCUUGCCUCCAGCGGUGAGUUAGGGGGCCACCAAUCCAUACUGUGUAUUUUACCGUGGUCACUCACAAACAGAGUUGUUUGCCAUGGUAUAGACAACCGCAAAAAACUAAAUUGUUUAAAAAGGAUAACUACCAUAACACAAGAACUCACAGUAUAGUACUAAAUUUGCACAAAGUAAAAGGCUAAGAGUAUAAAAUAUCAAUUGUUUAAUAACAUUCUAUGAAGUAUUCUAUAAUGGAAAAUCAUUUGAGACUUACGUAAUCAGCAUGAGAUAGUUUGUUGGGAAAGGUUGCUGAAUAUUGUUCCAUUAUUUAAAAAAAUGACCGCUGAGCGAAUGUAAAUUGGAGGUGGUUGUUUAUCUACACUAGGUACACUAGGUAACUUGUGAGUGAAGUGCAGAGCAAGUAUAUUUCGAGCUAAAAAUGGUUCCUUCCUGAUCAAUAUAGUAAAUUUCAAAAGGAAUAAUUGAAACAAGAACGUAUUGAAAUUUCAAUAAACACAUUGAAAAUGUGUAUGUACUCUUCAAAAAACAAUCACACAAUGGUUCCAUGGCGAAAAUCUAUUUCAUGAAAUUUAAAUUCACUUUUCGAAAGUGUUCUUCAAUUCAAUUCAAUCAAAGUUUCUAUGAUUAAAGUAGGUAAGAUAUAUUCAACAUCUGAAUAUAUCUUCUUGUUUCAUGCAAAAGAUCUAGAGUGGAUCUCAACAAAGAAUUAUCCUGCUAGCAAAAUGGAAAAGUUGCUCCGUGAAAAACUUGAAAAUAACAACAGCAAGCGAAAAGGACAACGACACCUUAUUUCAUGGGCAGAAGCAAUGCAUAUAAGGACAAACAAGAAACAAAGAAGGCAGAUAAUAAAAGAAGGAUUGAAUUACAUAGUAUGUAAAUCUGUGGAGACGUUGAUAAAGACUUCAUGAAAUGUUAUAACACCAUUGCGGGGACAUUGGUGUACCUCGUGUUGAGGAGAAGUCUGGCGAAGACAGUGAUUUUGAUUUCCCGUGGAUGGAAAAUACAGAGAUUGAUGGUAAGUAGAAUUGUUGUUACAUUUCUUGACACUUCAUAUAUCAUGAUUUUACACUCAUUGUGAAAACAUUCGGGUUGAGGUACUGUAGGGUUUAAAAAAUAGUGGCGACAACGAAAAUGAGUUGUUGAAAAGAUGCGAAGAAGAAGUCGGCAUACUCAAAAAAGAAAUGUCUAGCUACUGGCUUUUUUACAGUAUAAUUGGAAAAUGAGAUAGAUGUCAAUAGCUUCAACUUUUAUGCGAAUGAGGUAUGCUGAAUGCUUCUUUUGCCUAAUUGUGCUAGUUUAUAUUUAUAUUUAUUUUUUUUUGGUUUUGUCAAAUGUUCAGGAUUCUUCUUUAUUGUGUGCUUCUGAUUGGGAUAUCUUAACAACAGCGCUUGCAGUUUUAAAACUUAGGAUUAGAUAUGGUUUCUCAAAUGCUUUUCUAUGACAUUUUUUUAUAUUUCAGUGCUUACCAAUGGCGAAAAGGUUAAUCCUGAAGAGAGGCAUGUUUCCCUGUCCGGCUCAGACAGUGACCCGGAAUAAUGUAGCUGUUAUCGUCUGUAUUUAUUAUUUGAACUACCAUAGCUCUUUUCCGGGAUUACAUAUUUUUUCAAGAUUUCGUAUCGUAUCCGAAAUCUUGUUUAAACGGGCUUUUUCCUCCUUCGUUUUCCUUCUUAUCCUUCUCACUCAUUUCACACAGUAUGUUCUAUUGUUUGUAAUCUCUUUAAUAAUAGCCGUCGUCUGUCUGUCUGUGUGUCCGCGAAAGCCGUGUCCCGUAACGGAAACAC